rnacentral:pre_miRNA from 1 species
ACAACAACAUUCGGACCGGCGGUCUACCGAGCUAAUAUCACCCGCUCCGUGGAAGAUCUUCCCAUUGUAGUUAAAC